rnacentral:rRNA from 1 species
UACAGAGGGUGCGAGCGUUGUUCGGAUUCAUUGGGCGUAAAGGGUGCGUAGGCGGCGCGGUAAGUCGGGUGUGAAAUCUCGGAGCUUAACUCCGAAACUGCAUUCGAUACUGCCGUGCUUGAGGACUGGAGAGGAGACUGGAAUUUACGGUGUAGCGGUGAAAUGCGUAGAUAUCGUAAGGAAGACCAGUGGCGAAGGCGGGUCUCUGGACAGUUCCUGACGCUGAGGCACGAAGGUCAGGGGAGCAAACGGG